GUAGUUGUGGUUGAGAAGUUAGGGCGAUGGACUAGAAAUCAUUUGGUGUUUCCCUAUGCAGGUUUGAAUCCUGCUGACUACG
rnacentral:tRNA from 1 species